CUAUUGAUUGAAACUUAGCUUUGAACUUCAUAUUCUAGAUUAGUGGAUUCUCCUCUCUUUUCAAACCAAGAGAUUCCAUAAGAUCUAAAAAUUUUCAAUUUAACCAUUAGAACUCAUUUUAGUGAUGAAUCCAAGCUUGAUUUGCUAUUAUGGGGUAUUCUCCUUAUCAUCAUGAAAACAUGUGGCUUGCUCUUCAACCAAGUGCACUUGUACUGUAGGAACUGCACGAUGAGGUGUUUAUGUCAAGAAAAGGGCUAUUGAAUGAACACAAACGGAAAUGGGAGGAGUGACUUCUAGCAAAUGGUUUCAUCUAUCAGAAACAAUGGCGAGAGAAGGAACAAGGACCUGGAAAUGGAAGGAUAAUUUAGGUUUCAACCUUGAUGCCCAAAAUAUGGGAUAUAGUAAAAAACACAAGUCGGAUAUGGCAUCGCAAUGCCAAGGUGGUGGCAAAAGUGACCACAUGGUAAAAGAAACAACCCUUGUAACCCCCAUUGGAGGGCAGAAGCUUCCAAAUCCUCGGGUCUUAGCUUCAUUCUUUCACUCAAAUUCCUUGUAUUAUGCAAAACCAACGAUAGAAUCCAUCAAGCCUAGAGUAAGUGUUUUCCUAGAACAUAGGAUAGCAUUUACAACAGUAUAAAUUAACAUUUUAGUUUAUAAAAACUAAAAAUAAAUUUAAACACAUAAAACAUAUACAAAAUUUAUAAUUUAAAAUUUGAAAAAUAAAAUAGAUAUAUAUUUAAUGGAAAUCAUUUUAAAGAGAUUGUGUAGACUCUUUUCAUUUUCUUGAGUUCCCAUCCUCAUCCUUAAUUGAUGUUGCGCUACAGAAUUGGAAACUUGAAAUAGAGCUAUGCAAAUCUUUUCUCUUUUCGAAGCUCUAAUGCUUCCACUUCCCUCUUACCACCACCCACCUGUCAGCCCCCACCACUGCCUCGACAACACCUUGCCCUUCUCUUUUUCUCUUUCCCUUAUUUUUUCCCUAUGAAUUUACGUAGUGAUGCUUCAUGCUAUCAUCAUGCCAUGUCCGAAAUCCAAAUUUCGUCAGGGGUCAUUUGGCUACAUAGUCAUUGUCAAUAGUUAGGAAGCUGAAAGUUGGGCACUUCGUCAUCACUUGAACAAAACAGAUGAAUGGUUUAGAAACCUUGAUUUUCUUCCCAACACCAAGUAGAGGUAGUACAACUACUCCAUAUUUGAAUGCUUUACCGUUGAGAUUCUAACGUAUAACAACAUAGAUGAUGGAACUGAAGACUGGACGCAAUAAUCAAACAAACCUUUUUGAAGCUAGGUAUUAUGAAUGUUAGAUUAUUUUGUAUUGUAUAUAUGGGAAGGGAAAAGCUUCAUUUAUAAGGGUUUGUUAAAUCUUGUUUGGGGUUGUUGUAUAUCCUAUAUAUACUCAUUCAAUGGGAUUGAUAAAAGUCAUUACUCAA